rnacentral:rRNA from 1 species
UACGUAGGGUGCGAGCGUUAAUCGGAAUUACUGGGCGCAAAGCGUGCGCAGGCGGCUUCGCAAGUCAGGCGUGAAAUCCCCGGGCUUAACCUGGGAAUGGCGUCUGAAACUACGGAGCUGGAGUGUGGCAGAGGGAGGUAGAAUUCCACGUGUAGCGGUGAAAUGCGUAGAUAUGUGGAGGAAUACCGAUGGCGAAGGCAGCCUCCUGGGCCAACACUGACGCUCAUGCACGAAAGCGUGGGGAGCAAACAGG